rnacentral:rRNA from 1 species
GACGAACGCUGACGGCGUGCCUAAUACAUGCAAGUCGCACGAUGAGGCCCUUCGGGGUACAUCAGUGGCGGACGGGUGAGUAACACGUAGGAAACAUGCCCUUUACUGGGGGAUAACAUCGGGAAACCGGUGCUAAUACCGCAUAAGACGUUGAUUGGAAUAUCAACGUUUAAAGCUCCGGUGGUAAAGGAUUGGCCUGCGUCGGAUUAGCUUGUUGGUGAGGUAACGGCUCACCAAGGCGACGAUCCGUAGUUGGUCUGAGAGGAUGACCAGCCACAGUGGAACUGAGACACGGUCCAC